UAGGUGGAUGCCAGCUGGUUUAGGCGCUUAGCUGUUAACUAAGAGCUUGAAGGAUCAAGGCCUUCUCACCUAG
rnacentral:tRNA from 1 species